rnacentral:rRNA from 1 species
CGUAAGGUGCCAAACGAGUCAUUAAAAAAUUAACAUCGUCUGAUUCCUAGUCGGCAUAGUUUAUGGUUAAGACUACGACGGUAUCUGAUCGUCUUCGAUCCCCUAACUUUCGUUCUUGAUUAAUGAAAACAUCCUUGGCAAAUGCUUUCGCAGUAGUUAGUCUUCAAUAAAUCCAAGAAUUUCACCUCUGACAAUUGAAUACUAAUGCCCCCAACUAUCCCUAUUAAUCAUUACGGUGAUCCUAGAAACCAACAAAAUUAGAAUCAUGCCGUCCUAUUUUAUUAUUCCAUGCUAAUGUAUUCAAGCAAAAUGCCUGCUUUAAACACUCUAAUUUCUUCAAAGUAAGGUCCUGGUUCCCCGUGACACCCAAUUAAGGGCAUCGCGGUUCUCCAGAAGGUGAGAAAUUGACUACACCAGUUCAUACCCCUUAAGGCACGACCGAUGUGUCAAUCCCGAAAUUCAACUACGAGCUUUUUAACUGCAACAACUUUAAUAUAACGCUAUUGGAGCUGGAAUUACC